rnacentral:lncRNA from 1 species
GCGGAAAAGCACGGCGCUGGUGUAGACCAGGCUAGAGAUUGCUGAUCGGAGCGUAGUAGCGAAAGAGAAGAACAACGAAAUCCAACCAGAUCACUGCUGAAGACACUCACCGUGGUUGAAUAUAUAAUUAAAGGCGAAGGUUGGAACAUUAGAAAGACUGAUAUAUAAGAAUAUGAUAGAUAUAGGUGAUUAAUCUCCUUCUCUGCUCCCUAAUUUGUUCGACAACACAAAACAAAACAAAUUGAAAAAAACUUAAAAACGAUCCCUAACCUUUGCAAUUGUCUUCCUCAAACUGACAAAGGC